CUACGGGUGGCUGCAGUGGGGAAUAUUGCGCAAUGGAGGAAACUCUGACGCAGCAACGCCGUGUGAGCGAGGAAGGCCUUCGGGUUGUAAAGCUCUGUCAGAUGGGAAGAAAAAGCGAGGGUCUAAUAGGCCUUCGAACUGACGGUACCAUCGGAGGAAGCACCGGCUAACUUCGUGCCAGCAGCCGCGGUAAUACGAAGGGUGCAAGCGUUGUUCGGAUUUAUUGGGCGUAAAGCGCGCGCAGGCGGAUGAUUAAGUCAGAUGUGAAAUCUCGGGGCUCAACCCCGAAACUGCGUCUGAAACUGGUCAUCUAGAAUCUCGGAGAGGGAGGUGGAAUUUCGCAUGUAGGGGUAAAAUCCGUAGAGAUGCGAAGGAACACCAGAGGCGAAGGCGACCUCCUGGACGAGUAUUGACGCUGAGGCGCGAAAGCGUGGGGAGCAAACAGGAUUAGAUACCCGAGUAGUC
rnacentral:rRNA from 1 species